UUCCGAUGGUGAACCUGCGGAGGGAUCAUUACACAAUAUGAAAGCGGGUUGGGACCUCACCUCGGUGAGGGCUCCAGCUUGUCUGAAUUAUUCACCCAUGUCUUUUGCGCACUUCUUGUUUCCUGGGCGGGUUCGCCCGCCACCAGGACCAAACCAUAAACCUUUUUGUAAUUGCAAUCAGCGUCAGUAAACAAUGUAAUUAUUACAACUUUCAACAACGGAUCUCUUGGUUCUGGCAUCGAUGAAGAACGCAGCGAAAUGCGAUACGUAGUGUGAAUUGCAGAAUUCAGUGAAUCAUCGAAUCUUUGAACGCACAUUGCGCCCUUUGGUAUUCCAAAGGGCAUGCCUGUUCGAGCGUCAUUUGUACCCUCAAGCUUUGCUUGGUGUUGGGCGUCUUUGUCUCUCACGAGACUCGCCUUAAAAUGAUUGGCAGCCGACCUACUGGUUUCGGAGCGCAGCACAAUUCUUGCACUUUGAAUCAGCCUUGGUUGAGCAUCCAUCAAGACCACAUUUUUAACUUUUGACCUCGGAUCCAGGUAGGGAUACCCGCUGAACUUAAGCAUAUCAAUAAGCGGAGGA
rnacentral:rRNA from 1 species